CAAUGGUGCCAGCCGCCGCGGUAAUACGGAGGGGGUUAGCGUUGUUCGGAAUUACUGGGCGUAAAGCGCGCGUAGGCGGGUUGUUAAGUUAGAGGUGAAAUCCCGGGGCUCAACCCCGGAACUGCCUUUAAUACUGGCAACCUAGAGUUCGAGAGAGGUGAGUGGAAUUCCGAGUGUAGAGGUGAAAUUCGUAGAUAUUCGGAGGAACACCAGUGGCGAAGGCGGCUCACUGGCUCGAUACUGACGCUGAGGUGCGAAAGUGAUAAGUAACCCACCUGGGGAGUACGUUCGCAGGAAUGAAACUCAAAGGAAUUGACGGGGGCCCGCACUAGCGGUGGAGCAUGUGGUUUAAUUCGAUGAUACGCGAGGAACCUUACCAGGGCUUAAAUGUAAGUUGCAUUAGUUAGAGAUAGCUAUUUCUUCGGACCACUUACAAGGUGCUGCAUGGUU
rnacentral:rRNA from 1 species